CACAUGAAGGAUCCCCUGCAAUGAAAUGAAAGUGACCACACAUGAAGGAUCCCGGAUUUCCUGCUGGAACCCACUAUGCAUCACCUAUUUAUGAUCUAUCUCCCUUCUCCUUAUGAACAAGUAAAUUCAACAACUUUUUCAUUCAACCUCAGAUCUCUAGUUACCUUGUAAUUUGUUUAUACAAAUUCUAUUCUGCAACAAGAUGAGGUUUAUUCGGAUACGUCGAGCAAACCUUGAGUGGCGUCUUGUUGAACGGCACGCGGUCAAAUCAACGAUCGACAUGACAUGUUUUUGAGCUUCAGAAAGGUUGCUUGCUUAUUACAAGAGCUGCAAAUUCGCCGACAUAUAGAACCCGACAGAAACAAGAAACAAAACAGAAAAAUAUGAAGCAAAAUAGAAACAACACUACAAAAGGUUCAUUAGGAUCACCACUCGAGGCGUUGGACGUGGCCAAAGAGGCCAAGAAGCAGUGUAACAUUAGAGGAAACAAAUUGGAGAGAAUAUUAUUGAAACCCUGCCCUCUUAAACGUCUGCCUCCAGUUUUUGAAUAUACGAAAUAUAAAUUUUCUUUUAUUAAAAUCAAAUAAUUAUAUUUUAUAUAUCUAAUUAUCCAUCUCCUUAAUUAACAUAAGCAAAACGGAAGUUUACUCUUCUUUUUUAUUGAUUUUACCUUAUUUAUCUAAUUAAUUUUUUAAAUUCCGACAUAACUACCACAAUCCCCAUGUCAUUCCGGUGAUCAACGACCCUUCUCUGCCUUUCCUUGUACCUAUUUUCAGUGUUUAGAGCAACAUAGUACUUGUAUCUACUUUUGUUUUUACUGUAAUGUAGUUCGUACAAGGAAGAUCCUUAUUGCUGGUUCCAUAGGAUGGGACAAUUAUCAAAAUCAAUCCUCUGCAUUACCAAAAAGGACAAGGUGCUCCACUCUAAACAACCAACUUUCUCACAGAUUCAAGUAGGAACAACUUGCAAAAACGUUGAGGAUGAUGAUUACUAUGAAAUAAAGUAGCGACGAUGCUUAGAUACACAUAUAGACGUGCUAGGUUUAAUAUGUUGUUUCAAAUUUUGUUAUUGUUAUGUUUUGAACAUGUUGUUAUUUGGAAUUUAUGUAAUGUUUGACAAUUUGAUAUUUAUGAAAUGAAAUGGGUUUAUUUAAA